UAAUAUAUUUCCGCAGUCUAUACUUCCAUGUUUACUGAUGAGUUUGCAGUUUAGCCGCUAGAGGGUGUAGAAGAGAAUGAUGUAAAGAAACAGAAAAGAUAGGAAGAUUAGGGCGCACUUUUGAAACGUGGUCAGACGUACGUGGUUGAAUUGUUGAGUUCUUGGAUUAUUAUCUGAAAAAUUAAGAUAUUUAACGAUUGUAAGUAAACAAUAAUUAAUAGAAAUAGAAAAAGAAACAUAUACUUACCCGAAUCAUACUUACCAAAAUUGUAGCAAUAACAGCGAGUUGGAAAUUAGAUGUUGGAAGGAGAAUAAGAAAAUUGAGGUUACGGAAUUUGUAAGUUAAUGAUCAAUAAUGAAACGAAAUUGAAUUGUUACUAAUAAAAUAUUAUAGCUUUUAGCAAAAGUUACACACAAUCAAAUAGUGUUCUACGCUCAAAAGAUCCGAUCGAAGUUCUCUUUCAACAAUCUAAAAGAAAUUCCAAAGAUAUGGAAGGUAAACAACCGGACGUAAACAAGGGUAGUUGCGCAGCUUGUAAGGCGCCAGAUACCGAUGAAAUGGUGCAAUGUGACCACUGUGACACCUGGUGGCACUUUGGAUGCGUGGGAGUUGGCGACAGCAUCAGCGAACGCAGCUUCACUUGUCCGGCGUGCCAAAAAGCCACGGCCAUAGUAUCAAGAACGGAUAGUGGUAAUACUAAGGCAGAAACUAUAAUACCCACAAGUGCUGUUGCCAGAAGUACAUCAGCUUCUUCCCGGACUGGAUCUCGGUUAGUCCUGCAACGACUCGAGGCGGAGAAAACAUUGCGUGAAAAGGAGCUGCAAUUCGAACGUCGAGAUGAGGCAAGGAAACGCGAGCAAGAGCGGAUACAAAAGGAUGCAGAGUACGAAAGACGACAAAUGCAAAUUGAGGUAGAGUUCCUGAGGCAGAAAAUUAAAGCGCUAGAAGUAGAGGACGAUGCUGUAAGUGUUGCCAGAAGCCGUAAGUCUGUGCAUAGCGGAAUCAAGAAAGUGGAAGAAUGGCGUAAGGGGCUACCACUUUUGGUUGCUCAAUCGACAAUGCAAGAACCGAGACGUCCGGAGUUAAUUGAUUUCCCGGGGAAGCUAGCCCACCAAGCACAUAAUGAUAUAUCUGAAAUUUCGAAGGUUGUCCGGAGCAGAGUACCCACACAGAGUGUUAAUACCCGAUUGGAACACAAAAAUUCCCACCUGAUUGACUUUGGCCAAGCGACGAAUUCGGUUACCAAUUUAUCCGGUCUGUCAAGAGAAGUUUGGCCGAAUGUUAGCACGAUCCUGAAUGACGUCGGUGUAGAUAACAGAGGUGAACAACAUCGAUUCGGUUGUGAUGUGGUGGCUAAACGUGAUCAUGGACCUACAACGAGUCCAACGCAGCGUCAGUUGAUUUCACGACAGCUUAUGUCGAGCGAUUUGCCAGUUUUUUACGGAAAUCCUGAAGAUUGGCCCGUCUUUAUAACUACAUUCCGUACGACAUCCGAAGCAUGUGGAUACAAUGAAACGGAGAAUCUCGUGAGACUGCAACGAGCGCUCAAAGGUGCCGCAUAUGAAGCUGUGCGCAGUCGGCUUAUGAUGCCAGAAGCGGUCCCACUUAUUAUCGAACAAUUGGACACUCUUUAUGGGAGACCAGAACUAUUAGUUCAAACGUUGUUGCAAAAGGUUAGGCAAGUACCGGCCCCCAAGGCGGAUAAGUUGGAAACCUUGGUGACCUUCGGCCUAGAAGUGCAAAAUCUUAGUUACCACCUGAUUGCCGCGAACCAACAGGCACAUCUCAACAAUCCGACACUGUUGUUUGAGUUAGUGGAUAAAUUGCCCACACAUCUUCAGUUAGAUUGGGGGCUACAUAUGGAGAAUAUUGAGACGGUGGACCUACAAUCUUUCUCAGCGUAUAUGGGGGUACUGGUAAGGGCAGCUUCCCGUGUUACGAGGAACCUUGAAAGUUUGCACCCGAAAAUAUCAAAUAAACUCGGACGAGGCGAGAAAGGAAAAGAGAAAAAUUUCUGCGGUGCCCAUGCUGAAAAGGAUCUAGAUUCCGAAGGGGAAGGGCCAGAUGGUUGGGAACAAGCUCCACAAGCUGUUAUGGCUCACACAUCUAACGAUAUUUCGGCGGACGGAGCAACGAUGGUGGACGUUCCACACGCUGGAAGAGUGUUCAGCCCAGCUUGCUUCAUUUGUCAAAAUUUGACUCAUCGAGUCAAAAGCUGUCCAGAGUUUGGAAGAAUGAGCAUUGCAGAUAGAUGGAGGAAGGCACGUGAUUUGAAUAUUUGUCGCAGUUGUCUAAGUUGCCAUGGAAGACGACCUUGCAAGUCUGCUAAGCAGUGUGGGAUUGGUGGGUGCCAAAAGAAACACCAUCCAUUGCUACAUGAAAACCGGGAUGCCAACGUGGAACCUGAAGCAACAGGUGCUGUCAACAAUCACCAUCACGCAGAACCUUCCACACUGUACCGGAUUCUGCCUGUAACAUUGCACGGGAAUGGACGGACAGUGCAAGUGUUUGCCUUUAUGGAUGAAGGUUCAUCGCUGACUUUAGUCGAAGAAGAAGUCAUUGAUCAGCUGCAGAUUAAAGGAGAAGCAGUGCCGCUAUGCUUGCAAUGGACGGCGAACGUAGAGCGAAACGAAAGGAAUUCAAAGCGGAUCUCGUUGGAGAUAAGUGGUCAGGUUAACCCUGGACAACUAUUUAAAUUGAAGGAUGUUCGCACUGUAAGUUCUUUAAACCUUCCUAAACAAACAAUUCAAGGCGCAAAGUUGGCUCAAAAGUAUCCUCAUCUACAAGGGUUACCGAUUCAGAGCUAUGAGAAUGCGAUUCCAAAAAUUCUAAUUGGUAACGACAAUCUUCACGUCGGAGCAACACAGAGAAUAAGGGAAGGAGCUAUCGGGGAGCCGGUAGGGGCCAAAUGCCGAUUGGGAUGGACAGUGUAUGGCGCCCUGGAGUACGGAUCUCGUCGAGCGAGCAUGUUUCAUAUAUGUGAGUGUGAACACGAUUUAGAACUACAUGAGUUAGUUGAGGAAUAUUUUCGAAUCGACAAUUUGGGAAUAAGAGCUACAAAAAAGCUGGAAUCCGAAGACACGAAGCGAGCCGAGCAGAUUAUGAAACGAACGACGAGACGAAUUGAAGGCAGAUUUGAAACUGGACUCAUUUUCAAGUACGACUAUUUCGAGCUUCCGGAUAGUAUGCCGAUGGCUGAACGUAGACUACAAUGUCUUGAAAGGCGUAUGGCUAAAGAUUCAGUGAUCAGUGAAAGCGUCCGACGCCAGAUGAAAGAAUAUGUAGAUAAAAAAUACAUUCACGAAGCCACCGACGAUGAGCUGCGGAGUGCAGAUCCGCGAAAAACGUGGUAUUUACCAUUGGGAAUCGCAAUCAAUCCGAAAAAGCCUUCUAAGAUACGUAUUUUUUGUGAUGCUGCAGCUAAGGUCGGAGGUAUCUCGUUGAAUACAGUUCUAAUGAAAGGACCAGAUCUCCUCAGCUCCCUCCCCCGAAUCCUUUUCGGGUUUCGUGAACGUCCGGUAGCGAUAUGCGCCGAUAUCAAAGAGAUGUUCCAUCAAGUUAAAAUACGGAAAGAGGAUCGAGACUGCCAAAGGCUAUUGUGGCGAGAGAAUGUAAAAGAAAGGCCAAAAAUUUACAUCAUGGACGUAGCUACAUUCGGAUCGACUUGUUCGCCAUGCUCUGCCCAGUACGUGAUGAAUCUCAAUGCCAGCGAACACGAACAAGAUUUUCCCGAUGCUGCGGAGGCGAUAAAGAAGCGGCACUAUAUGGACGAUUGGAUGGAUAGCGUCGAUGGUGUAGAACAAGCGGUUAAGCUAGCUCUUGAGGUGAGGACAAUUCAUUCGAACGGUGGUUUCCAGCUACACAACUGGUUGUCUAACUCCCCUGAAUUUCUGAAACGGGUCGGGGCUUCCAACGGUUGUGCAGAAAAGCCUUUGAAUCUAGACUGUAGCUCCACUGAACGAGUAUUGGGGAUGUUCUGGAUUCCUAAGUCCGACAUCUUCACGUAUCAAAGUGCAAUGAGAAUGGAACAGACACGACCGACAAAGCGCGAGGUGCUCCGAGCUGUCAUGUCGUUGUUCGACCCAUUGGGACUACUGUCGUUUUUCGUUGUCCAUGGGAAAAUAAUAAUACAGGACAUAUGGCGGGCUAAAACAGAGUGGGAUGAAAAGAUUCCACACGAGAUAAGCGAGAGAUGGCAAUCGUGGGCCAAAUAUUUUGAAACGUUAAAUAAUAUACGUAUUGAGAGAUGUUAUUUUCCAAAUUAUACCACUGAUCAGUUGAAAGAAGUGCAAUUGCACGUUUUUUGUGACGCUAGCGAUAGUGCCUAUGCGUGCGUUGCGUACAUACGCGCAAAGGUCAAAGGGAAGGUUCACUGUUCACUCGUAGCCGGUAAAGCUAAGGUGGCUCCGUUAAAGGUAUUGUCCAUUCCACGAUUAGAAUUGCAAGCUGCCGUCAUUGGAGCACGAAUGCAAAACACUAUCGUAGAAUCUCAUAGAUUGGAGAUUGAAAGAAGUGUCUUCUGGACUGAUUCGAAAACUGUUUUAGCAUGGCUAAAUUCAGAUCAGAGAAAGUAUACUAAAUUUGUUGGCGUUCGCGUUGGCGAAAUAUUGUCUUCAUCAAAAGCAGAAGAUUGGAGAUGGAUACCUUCUAAGCUAAAUGUGGCGGACGACGCGACAAAAUGGGGUAAAAAUCCGAACUUUUCGCCAGACAGUCGAUGGUUUCGAGGACCGGAUUUUUUGUCGGAAGAUGAAUCUGCCUGGCCAGCCAAUACGAAUUCGACCUGCGAAACCAGAGAAGAAGUACAACACUGCCUCGUGCAUAUAUUCGACAAAGUUUUGAAAAUGGUUAAAUGGGAGGAUUUCUCUAACUGGGUGCGACUGUGGCGUGCUGUGGGAUACGUGCAUCGAUACUGUGACAACUUUCGAGCUCGAUUUCUUAGGCAAAAGCUGAAAAGCGGACCACUUUCACAAAACGAGUUGAUCAGAGCAGAAGCGACUAUUUUCCGGUGGAUUCAAAAAGAAGCGUACCCUAAAGAGUUCAAAGCGCUAGCGCACGCGCUUUCGUCGAACAUCAAAAGUGUGAAGCUGGAAUCGUGUAGCCCGUUGAGAAAAUUAUCACCAUGUCUGGACCACGAAGGAAUUAUCCGUUUGGAAAGUCGCAUCGUAGCAGCCUCGUAUACUUCAUUCGACGUCAGGUAUCCCAUCAUAUUACCCUCAAACCACGCUGCAACAAAACUGCUUUUAAAUUGGUACCAUCGUCGCUUGUUGCACGGGAACCAUGAGACAGUAGUUAAUGAAGUACGUCAAAAAUAUCACAUCUCUAAUCUCAGAUCCGUCUUGCGUAAGGUGGUCAAAGGUUGUUCAUUUUGUCGGGUUAGAGGGGCUAGGCCAUUGGUUCCCAGAAUGGCGCCACUUCCCGAAGCGAGGUUGCAAGCAUAUAUUAGGCCGUUUUCUUUCACUGGACUGGAUUACUGUGGACCGUUCAACAUCAGAAUUGGCCGGGCCACUGUGAAGAGGUGGAUUGCAUUGUUCACCUGUCUGACGAUACGGGCAAUUCAUUUAGAAGUCGUGCAUUCGCUCAGCACGGAAUCCUGCAAAAUGGCCAUUAGACGAUUUAUCGUACAUCAUGGGUCACCGAGAGAAAUAUACAGCGACAACGGCACCAACUUCGUGGGCGUUCGAAAUGAACUUUCCCGAGAGAUAAAAGCAGAGGAAUUAUCGGAGUGUUUUACAAACGCCAACACCAAAUGGAUUUUCAACCCUCCUUUGGCUCCGCAUAUGGGUGGAGCGUGGGAGAGACUGGUGCGCUCAGUCAAAGCCGCGAUGUGUGCCAUGCAAAUGACGAAAAACCCUGACGAAGAGACAUUCGCCACAAUCGUUCGAGAAGCGGAGGACAUCGUGAACUCGCGCCCUCUCACUUUCAUUCCCAUCGAAAACGGACAGCAAGAAGCUUUGACACCCAACCACUUUUUGAAGUUAAGUUCGGACGGGGUGACUCAGACGCCGAAAAGGUUGAAGGACGAUAGAUCAGCACACCGUAAUAAUUGGAAUCACCUUAACAAUGCUGUAGAUCAAUUCUGGUACCGAUGGGUACGUGAGUACUUACCUACAAUUACACGACGCACUAAAUGGUUUCACGACACGAAGGAAAUCGUACCUGGGGACCUUGUGAUAAUCGUGAACGAAUCGGAGCGUAAUGGAUGGACAAGAGGAAGAGUGGUAUCUUUAUCGACAGCGGCUGACGGAAGGAAACGGCGAGCGGUAGUUCAAACAUCUUCUGGACUUCUUCGGAGGGCGGUAGCUAAACUUGCACGAUUGGAUGUAGGAGGUAAAACUGGGUCCGAUUGACGAUAGUGCCCAGUGUUACGGGUCGGGGAAUGUUGAAGUAGUUGAUAACGGUUAGUUCAAAUUUCGAUGUACCAUCCUAAUAUAUUUCCGCAGUCUAUACUUCCAUGUUUACUGAUGAGUUUGCAGUUUAGCCGCUAGAGGGUGUAGAAGAGAAUGAUGUAAAGAAACAGAAAAGAUAGGAAGAUUAGGGCGCACUUUUGAAACGUGGUCAGACGUACGUGGUUGAAUUGUUGAGUUCUUGGAUUAUUAUCUGAAAAAUUAAGAUAUUUAACGAUUCAAUAACAGCGAGUUGGAAAUUAGAUGUUGGAAGGAGAAUAAGAAAAUUGAGGUUACGGAAUUUCUUUUAGCAAAAGUUACACACAAUCAAAUAGUGUUCUACGCUCAAAAGAUCCGAUCGAAG